CUGAUCCAUGCAUGUUCCCAUCUAACCCCAACCACGUACUAUAAAUACCAUCUCCAUUCAGCCGAGAAGCCAAGCAGCUUGCGAACCAAACCACAGAUUCCAGCUUCAUAUACAGAUUUUCGUCAGGUCUUGCUUGGAUUUCGCAAGAAAUGGGUGACGCCAAAUCGUCGUGGCCGGAGGUCUUGGGGGCGCCGGCUGAGGCGGCAAAGCAGACGAUCCUGAGGGACCGUCCGGACGUGCAGGUGUUUAUAGUGCCUCCCGGUAACUCGGUGACCGGCGACUUCAACAACAAGCGCGUCCGCGUCUUCGUGGAUUCCUCCAACAAGGUCGUGAAGGUCCCCAAGAUCGGCUAGGCCAGGGCGCUCGACCGAUCGAGUCCAUCGAUCAUGUCAUGCGGGCGUGCAUCAUCCUGCCGUUCUCUGUUGCUUAAUUAUUAUGCGUCUAUUUAUACAUGAAUAAUUUGAGGUGAACUACGGCCAGCAUUAGCUAUCCAGAAUCAUUUCAAUCAAAUACUGUGUUUAAUUUAUAUUCAUGAUGAAUAAUAGCUGUCUGUUCCGUUGUACUAAUAAAGUUCAGUCUUGUUAGCAAUAAACAUGCAAUUUGUUCGUGUCAAAAAAA